CUUGAGCGAGCCCAGCAGGGCCGGGUGCUCCGCCGGCCGGCCCUGCCCGUAGGUCGCCAGCAGCGCGUGGGCCUC
rnacentral:antisense_RNA from 1 species